GCUCUUACUACUAUCCACGGCCACGCUAUCAUGGAUCGUCUGUACCGCACCACUGUCGAGCCGGUGCUCCUGCGAGAGCGCCAGCAGUGCGGCGAAGAGGCAGAGGUGGCAGAUCUUGCGAGCGUGCUCCAUCGUGCGCCCAAGCUGGACUUCCACUGCCACCUUAACGGCAGUGUGUCGGCAUCGCUGCUGGCGCACCUGGAGCGGCUUCUCAUUCACGACGGUGCUCCGGUAAACGGGGCGGAUGGGGACAGCGGCAGGGCCGGCGAUGCCGAGGCGGGCCAUAUCCUCUUCUUCGACUCUCAAGAGAAGCGAAGGCAGAACGUGCUCACAGUAACCCCGGCGGACAGCGCCGACAGGGCGGCGGUGGCGGCGGCGGCAACGCCAACGGAACGGAUGCAUUACUGCUUCACCGUCUUCGACGCCAUCUACAAGGUCAUGACGAACCUCGCGUUCACCCGACUGGCUGUGCAGGACAUGCUCUUCACCAGCGCCGAGGAGAACAUCAUUGUAAUGGAGAUUCGGACGUCGAUGCGGGACGGGCUUCGACGCACCUUCCGCCGCGACGCGGCAGACGAGGAGGUGACGAAGCAGAUGUACGUGGACACGGUCAUUGAGACCGUCGAGCACAUACUCUCCGGUGGUUUGGUCGACUUAGCGACGGGUGAGCUGCUGACCACAAGCGCAUCGGCGCAGGUGUUGGCGUGGGGUGCGGCCUCUGUGACGCAAAGGGGUGCAGCAGAAGACGAGGCCGGUGAACAGGCGGCCGCGGCGCCAUGGUGGCAGCUGUACGAGCGCGUCUAUGGCAGCCUCCUGCAGCCGCCGUGUGAGUCGUCAUGCGUUCAAGAACGCCGCCGGUACUUUCUCGAGCAUAUCUUUAGGAACUUGACGGAGCGCAUGCAUGUGCGCCUGCUGCUCUCCGUCAACCGUGGUGCCACGGCAGCGGCCGCCUGGGAAGCCGCGCGGCUCACCACGAAGACGCAGCAACGGCAAGCCAUGGAGUUCCACUCGUGGUGCACGGCCCACAUGCGGGAGCGCAACGGCGAGGAAGCGAGGCGCGGCACAGCCAAUAACGAUUCGUCGUCCCCGGGCUCGCCAACCAGUGCUACCCCCUCCUCCUCCUCCCCCUCCUCUUGCCUGCAUCGCCGGCUGCGCAAGACGUGCUGGGUCACCGGUAUGGACCUCUCUGGCAACUGCUACAAGGGCAAGUACGCGGAACUGGAGCCGGCGCUGGCUGCCGCGCGCAGGGGAGAGGCAGAAGAGCAGGACAGCAGCGGCAUACGCGUCACCCCCUCCAUCACGAUUCACGCAGGGGAGAAGCAGGACCCGCAGGAGCUGCACGAAAUGGUGCUGUUCGCGCCAGAGCGCUGGGGCCAUCUCGUCUUCACGGACCCCGCGAACUUGUCUGCGAUCCUCGCGGCGCAGCAAGGGAUUGAGCUGUGCCUCACGAGCAAUAUGCUGACGGGAGGCCACUCUCACGUUGUGGACCACCACCUCGGUGACCUCCUGCAGCUUUGGGAGUCCAUGCCAGAGAGCCGUCGGCGCCGUGGCAGCGACACAGAGGGCAGGAGCGCGUUUCCGUGUUACGCGGCCACAGAGGCGGUCCGUCUUGCCCAUCGGCAGGCGCGCGCGAUGCGUCGGUGUGGCAAUCUGACGGCCGUGACCGAUCCAUCAGGGGCAGCGGAUGCUGACAGCAGCGAUGCAGCGAGCACGUUUGUGUUGCCGAACAUCUCCUUCCACACGGAUGACAGAGGUGUCUUUGGCACUACACUGUCCAAGGAGUUGCUCUUGGCCUCUCAGCACCCCGCCAUCAGGCAGCUGUGCAACCGGCUGACGGCAAACGCGGCGGGUGCGACCAACGGCGAUGCAGCGGCGGAGACGCCGUCCACAGCGGCCCUGGCGCACUUCUUCUGGUUGUUUGAGCGUUUGUCCUUGGCGCAGCUCUUUGAGCUGCCGUUGCCGGUGCAGCUGCUCGCAGCCGCCCUCUAUGAGCACUACUCGUGUGCGUCCGAGUCGGUCGCGGCCCAUAAAGGCGGUGCUCUCGAGGUGCUACAGGGAGCGGAGACGGGCGACUGGCGCGACUGGCCGUCUUUCGUGCGUGUGUGCAACAGCGUUGCUGCCUCCCCUGUAGAGGCAACGGCCACGCUGUCGGCGACACCGCUGCCAUCGCGGCUCAGUCGGUGGGAGUGGGCGUGGCUUACCAAGUGUUUUGACCGCUACUACGACUAGCUUGGUGGCGCAAAGCCGGCCCUCGGCCAUACCCCAUCUCAACCUCUCCGGCUCCCCCGCGUGCGUGUGUUCUCCGUAACGCGACACACACACACGCAGGUAAGCGUUGGCUGCCCCACCGUAAGCCCAGUUGUAUUGGGCAUGGCUCCUCAGCAGCACUCAGAUCUUGCUCUGCUCUCCUCUCGGCGUCUCAGUUCACUUGCGGACCUCUCGCGUAUCGCCUGAAGUGGUGGCCGACGGGCCGGCACUUAGCCACCAACACACGUACACGCACCUUCCUCUCUCUCCGCACCCUCCCGCCUGCACGGCGUUUCUUCUCUGUUGAAGAGGAAAGGUGCUGACGUAUUUCAGCGCUCUCGCCAUCUUGCAGGGUCGGCAGCGCCUUCGGCGGCGUCUCCUGCACAGCAUGUGUGUGUGUGUGUGUGUGUGUGUGUGUGACUCUCUUCUUUUGAAAAGUCGCCGUGCAGAACGGAGCGAGGGAAGGAGCCGGAGCGGCACUGCCGCACCGCCCCCUUCACCCAUCCUCCUAUGCGUGUGCAUCUCCGGCGGUCUCCACAUUGCUGGCCUCUUCAAUCCUCCCGCUCGGUCUCCAUCCCCUCACCCUCUCUGGCACCUUCCUCUGUGCAGACGACCGCUAUCCAGUACUGGAUAUCGGUGUGUGUGCGUGUGUGUGAGUGUCUUCCUAUAGAGACGCUGAAGAAUACCAACAAAAAAAGGGAAACGUCCGGCGUUAGAAGGGCAGUCAUGUCAGGCACGGGACGCCGUCGCAGGGUCACCCACACAGACAGACGGACCGAAGGCGAGAGGGCGUGCGGGCGUGCGGAGUGCUGUGUAGACAGGGGGUGCGUCGAAGCCUCACGGCGAAGGGAACGGCGCAUUGCCAGUGUGUAGCUGUGCGUGCUUGCUGCGUGCGUGCGUGUGUGUGUGUUUGUCUUCCUCUCCACGGGCAAGGGGCUGCGCAGGCGCACAGCUGCAUCCCCAUAUCCAUGCAGCCGUACCCGCAUAUACGCCACCGCCUUCUUGCUCCAUUUUGUUUUCUUUGGCUGUCAGCUUUACGUGAUGGUCACCACCAUCAGCAGCACCACCGUCAGCCAUCCUAUAACGCCGAUCUCCCCUCUCCUUUCUUCUCUGAUAGCGGGGCGCCAUUGCGUCAUCGUCUGUGGAGUCGCCACCCUCAUCCGCUCUCGUGCAUUUCCGCAUAACUUGCUCAUCCCUCCCCCACCCAACACACACACACACCACACCGCCCCCCCCCCU
rnacentral:misc_RNA from 1 species